AUGCUCACUUCAGCAGUAUAUAUACUAAAAUUGGAAUGAUACAGAGAAGAUUAGCAUCACCCCUGCACAAGGAUGACAUGCAAAUUCAUGAAGUGCUCCAUAUUUAU
rnacentral:snRNA from 1 species